rnacentral:rRNA from 1 species
UACGGGGGGGGGCAAGCGUUGUUCGGAAUUACUGGGCGUAAAGGGCUCGUAGGCGGCCAACUAAGUCGGACGUGAAAUCCCUCGGCUUAACCGGGGAACUGCGUCCGAUACUGGAUGGCUUGAGUUCGGGAGAGGGAUGCGGAAUUCCAGGUGUAGCAGUGAAAUGCGUAGAUAUCAGGAGGAACACCGGUGGCGAAGGCGGUCAUCUGGCCCGGUACUGACGCUCAGGCACGAAAGUGUGGGUAGCAAACAGG